rnacentral:rRNA from 1 species
GAGUUUGAUCCUGGCUCAGAAUCAACGCUGGCGGCGCGCUUAACACAUGCAAGUCGCACGAGAAAGCCGGGGCAACCUGGUAAGUAAAGUGGCGCACGGGUGAGUAACACGUGGGUAAUCUACCCUUUAGUGGGGAAUAACGCUGGGAAACCGGCGCUAAUACCGCAUAAUCCCGAGAGGGGAAAGCAGCAAUGCGCUGAAGGAGGAGCCCGCGGCCGAUUAGCUGGUUGGUAGGGUAACGGCCUACCAAGGCUGAGAUCGGUAGCCGGCCUGAGAGGGCACACGGCCGCACUGGCGCUGAAACACGGGCCAUGACUCCUACGGGGGGCAGCAGUGGGGAAUCUUGCUACAAUGGGGGAAACCCUGAUGCAGCGACGAAACGUGAGCGAUGAAGCCCUUCAGUGAGCAAAGCUCCUUCUGACGGGAACAGGAUGACGCUACGUGCAAAAUGAGCUGCGAGC